rnacentral:rRNA from 1 species
AACGAACGCUGGCGGCAGGCUUAACACAUGCAAGUCGAACGCCCCGCAAGGGGAGUGGCCGACGGGUGCGUAACGCGUGGGAACAUACCCUUUUCUACGGAAUAGCUCUGGGAAACUGGAAUUAAUACCGUAUACGCCCUACGGGGGAAAGAUUUAUCGGGGAAGGAUUGGCCCGCGUUGGAUUAGCUAGUUGGUGGGGUAAAGGCCUACCAAGGCGACGAUCCAUAGCUGGUCUGAGAGGAUGAUCAGCCACAUUGGGACUGAGACACGGCCCAAACUCCUACGGGAGGCAGCAGUGGGGAAUAUUGGACAAUGGGCGCAAGCCUGAUCCAGCCAUGCCGCGUGAGUGAUGAAGGCCUUAGGGUUGUAAAGCUCUUUCACCGAUGAAGAUAAUGACGGUAGUCGGAGAAGAAGCCCCGGCUAACUUCGUG